GCCUACUAACAGUAUAUAUUCCAUGCAAUGAGACUUUUAGCCGGACUGUGCCUAACGUUUUUACUUUAUCACACACAAAAACCCAUAAGGAACCAGGGUUCUCUUCUAAGCGUCCUAGUCGAAGAGAAACUUGAUUUUUUUUUAAACAUCAACUACCAAAUAAGCUUAGGCCUUAUCUUCAAGACCGUUAGCUAUAUGAAAAAUAAUUGGCCAAAGUUGAUUUGACCGAUGAUUUGCAGUACACUGCAAAAUGCCCAAUUACGCCACACUUCAAUCAUUUUUGGGAUAAAGAAACUUGUUCUUAGGGAACCACUUCUUGGAGGUAUUUUGAUUAUAAAUUUUGACCCCUUGUACUCUAAUAGAAAAAUAUCGUAUUUUCGCUCUAUCUCACUAGCAUUGAUCUGGUCAAUUGAAUCACCUUCUCGAGAGACCUCCUAAAAGACGGAGAGUACCCUUGAUGAUUGUAUCAUUGUAGGAUUCAGA
rnacentral:lncRNA from 1 species